rnacentral:miRNA from 1 species
GGAGGAAGUUUGCCUCCCCCCACC